rfam:Picea glauca, whole genome shotgun sequence.
GGGUGCGAUCAUACCAGCGUUAAUGCACCGGAUCCCAUCAGAAAUGUGCAGUUAAGCACACUUGGGCUAGAGUAGUACUAGGAUGGGUGACCUCUCGAAAAGUCCUAGUGUUGCACCCU